UCCGGCUUAACGCCGGCGGUCUCCAUAGAGUGCCCAACUGAAUGAUGGCAACUAGGGAUAAGGGUUGCGCUCGUUAAGGGACUUAACCCGACAUCUCACGAUACGAGCUGACGACAGCCAUGCAGCACCUGUCUCACUGCCCCCGAAGGGGAAACCGUAUCUCUACGGCUGUCAGUGGACGUCAAACCCAGGUAAGGUUUUUCGCGUUGCAUCGAAUUAAACCACAUGCUCCACCGCUUGUGCGGGCCCCCGUCAAUUCCUUUGAGUUUUAGCCUUGCGGCCGUACUCCCCAGGCGGAGUGCUUAACGCGUUGGCUGCGACACCGCGGGGGUCAAUACCCACAGCAUCUAGCACUCAUCGUUUACGGCGUGGACUAC
rnacentral:misc_RNA from 1 species